rnacentral:rRNA from 1 species
UUUUUCCUACGGGGGGCAGCAGUGAGGAAUAUUGGUCAAUGGGCGCGAGCCUGAACCAGCCACGUCGCGUGAGGGAUGACGGCCCUACGGGUUGUAAACCUCUUUUGUCGGGGAGCAAAUUCCGUUACGUGUAACGGAGUCGAGAGUACCCGAAGAAAAAGCAUCGGCUAACUCCGUGCCAGCAGCCGCGGUAAUACGGAGGAUGCGAGCGUUAUCCGGAUUUAUUGGGUUUAAAGGGUGCGUAGGCGGACUGUUAAGUCAGCGGUAAAAGCCCGGGGCUCAACCCCGGCGAGCCGUUGAAACUG